AGUGUCUUCAUCUCUGCAUCCCUAGUGCAACAGAGCAUGACAAAAAUUCAACAAAUAUUUAUUGAAGAGUCUUGAUGUCUUUUGGGAAAGGAACUCUAUGGUUACCUUUACUCUAAGUUAAAAACAACAACAACAACAACAAAAACACAAAACCCUGAGGCUCAGAAGAUAAAUAUUUGCUGAAGAUCACUGUGCUUAUUAGAUGGGUGUUACUGAUUCUUACCUCAGAGAAGAGAAUGUCAUGGAGACAAAAUGACCUGCUUAGAGUUCUGCACCCCCCAGCAUGGAGAGCAGAGCGCAAAGAUUUCUUCCGGACUCCCACAUUCCCCUUGGAAUCCAAGAACUGGUCUACUGUCACAACACUUUAGUACCCUCUUGUAAGCCUGUGGACAAAUCCUCUGAUGCCUUGAUACCUCGGUUUUCCCCCACUAUAAAUGGGAAGAUAAAUUCACUAGAAACAGUA
rnacentral:lncRNA from 1 species